GACGAACGCUGGCGGCGUGCUUAACACAUGCAAGUCGAACGAAGAGCGACGGAAGCUUGCUUCUAUCAAUCUUAGUGGCGCACGGGUGAGUAACGCGUAAUCAACCUGCCCUUCAGAGGGGGACAACAGUUGGAAACGACUGCUAAUACCGCAUACGAUCUAACCUCGGCAUCGAGGAUAGAUGAAAGGUGGCCUCUACAUGUAAGCUAUCACUGAAGGAGGGGAUUGCGUCUGAUUAGCUAGUUGGAGGGGUAACGGCCCACCAAGGCGAUGAUCAGUAGCCGGUCUGAGAGGAUGAACGGCCACAUUGGGACUGAGACACGGCCCAGACUCCUACGGGAGGCAGCAGUGGGGAAUCUUCCGCAAUAGACGAAAGUCUGACGGAGCAACGCCGCGGGAGUGAUGACGGCCUUCGGGUUGUAAAGCUCGGUUAAUCGGGACGAAAGGCCUUCUUGCGAAUAGGGAGAAGGAUUGACGGUACCGGAAUAGAAAGCCACGGCUAACUACGUG
rnacentral:rRNA from 1 species